AGUGAACGCUGGCGGUAGGCCUAACACAUGCAAGUCGAACGGCAGCACAGUAAGAGCUUGCUCUUACGGGUGGCGAGUGGCGGACGGGUGAGGAAUACUUCGGAAUCUACUUUUUCGUGGGGGAUAACGUAGGGAAACUUACGCUAAUACCGCAUACGACCUACGGGUGAAAGCAGGGGAUCUUCGGACCUUGCGCGAUUGAAUGAGCCGAUGUCGGAUUAGCUAGUUGGCGGGGUAAAGGCCCACCAAGGCGACGAUCCGUAGCUGGUCUGAGAGGAUGAUCAGCCACACUGGAACUGAGACACGGUCCAGACUCCUACGGGAGGCAGCAGUGGGGAAUAUUGGACAAUGGGCGCAAGCCUGAUCCAGCCAUACCGCGUGGGUGAAGAAGGCCUUCGGGUUGUAAAGCCCUUUUGUUGGGAAAGAAAAGCAGCAGGUUAAUACCCCGCUGUUCUGACGGUACCCAAAGAAUAAGCACCGGCUAACUUCGU
rnacentral:rRNA from 1 species